AUGCAGUCGAGGGGCAGCAUAAAAGUAGCAAUACUUUGGUGGCGACCGGCGCACGGGUGAGUAACGCGUAUGCAACCUACCUAUCAGAGGGGAAUAACCCGGCGAAAGUCGGACUAAUACCGCAUAAAACAGGGGCACCGCAUGGUGAUAUUUGUUAAAGAAAUUCGCUGAUAGAUGGGCAUGCGUUCCAUUAGGUAGUUGGUGAGGUAACGGCUCACCAAGCCGACGAUGGAUAGGGGAACUGAGAGGUUGGUCCCCCACACUGGUACUGAGACACGGACCAGACUCCUACGGGAGGCAGCAGUGAGGAAUAUUGGUCAAUGGGCGGGAGCCUGAACCAGCCAAGUCGCGUGAAGGAAGAAGGAUCUAUGGUUCGUAAACUUCUUUUGCAGGGGAAUAAAGUGCAGGACGUGUCCUGUUUUGUAUGUACCCUGAGAAUAAGGAUCGGCUAACUCCGUGCCAGCAGCCGCGGUAAUACGGAGGAUUCGAGCGUUAUCCGGAUUUAUUGGGUUUAAAGGGUGCGUAGGUGGUUUGAUAAGUCAGCGGUGAAAGUUUGCAGCUUAACUGUAAAAAUGCCGUUGAAACUGUCGGACUUGAGUGUAAAUGAGGUAGGCGGAAUGCGUGGUGUAGCGGUGAAAUGCAUAGAUAUCACGCAGAACUCCGAUUGCGAAGGCAGCUUACUAAGCUACAACUGACACUGAAGCACGAAAGCGUGGGGAUCAAACAGGAUUAGAUACCCUGGUAGUCCACGCAGUAAACGAUGAUUACUAGCUGUUUGCG
rnacentral:rRNA from 1 species